GUUGCCCGAAGUGCUGAUACAGCCAGUAUCACACGGCCAAGUCAUCAAAUAGAGAAAGAAAUCACUCUCGAAAUAGCGCUGAAUUGCAAUAAAAUGCGAGGAAGGAAGUCUUUGGACUUCCUUCGCUUGCAUUUUGAUCACGCCACUUUAGAAAUAACUGAUGAUUUUAUUCCACCGCGUCAUGCCACCGCGCGAUUCCCCUCCGAUAAUCGUUCAGAACCGGAGGCGUUAAAAAUCACCGCCUAGAAGCGGCGGACAGUCACAAAUCAGUUAUCAAAUAAUUAACAAGUGCUCGAAUUAAUUAACAAGACUAGCCGUUAUCCUGAAAAAACAAUUGUGCCCCACGCACACAACAAUACAGUAUAUAAUGUUUAAUCCAAGAAAUGUAGCAGUGCUGCUAUACACUGCACUGUAUAUGACUGGGGAAUUCCCAGAAAGUCCUGUUACAACAGAUGAAAAUGAAACAAAAGACAUGUUGGAAAAUACACUUUGAUCAAUGUAUGAAGAAGCGUUUGAAGUUUAUGAAGAAUCAUCAUUAGAUUUUCAAAACGAAUUUGAUAUACCUGAAGUAGAACCUGUAAUUGAUGAAGAAAGAGAAGGUGACACAUAUUUUGUAAAAGAAAUUGAAUGUGUUGCGGAUUCUGUACCAAUAGAAUAUAAAAGAAAUGCAGUAGAGUUUUGGAGAA